rnacentral:rRNA from 1 species
GCUAGAUUGAACGCUGGCGGCGUGCUUAACACAUGCAAGUCGCGCGUGAAAGGACUUCGGUCCGAGUAAAGCGGCGCACGGGUGAGUAACGCGUGGACGAUCUACCCAUGAGUUAGGAAUAACGGCUGGAAACGGUCGCUAAUACCAAAUACGCUCCGAUUUCAACUUCGGGGGAAAGGUGGCCUCUGCUUGCAAGCUACUGCUCAUGGAUGAGUCCGCGUCCCAUUAGCUAGUUGGUGGGGUAACGGCCCACCAAGGCGACGAUGGGUAGCCGGUCUGAGAGGAUGACCGGCCACACUGGGACUGGAACACGGCCCAGACUCCUACGGGAGGCAGCAGUGGGGAAUAUUGCGCAAUGGGCGAAAGCCUGACGCAGCGACGCCGCGUGAGGGGAAUGAAGGUCCUCGGAUCGUAAACCUCUGUCAGGAGGGAAGAACCGCCACGGUGCUAAUCAGCCGUGGUCUGACGGUACCUCCAAAGGAAGCACCGGCUAACUCCGUGCCAGCCGCCGC